rnacentral:rRNA from 1 species
CACGUAGGGCGCAAGCGUUGUCCGGAAUUAUUGGGCGUAAAGAGCUCGUAGGCGGACUGUCACGUCUGCUGUGAAAAGCUGGGGCUUAACCCUGGCCUUGCAGUGGAUACGGGCAGACUAGAGGUAGGUAGGGGAGAAUGGAAUUCCCGGUGUAGCGGUGAAAUGCGCAGAUAUCGGGAGGAACACCGGUGGCGAAGGCGGCUCUCUGGGACGGUACUGACGCUGAGGAGCGAAAGCGUGGGGAGCGAACAGG